UACGGGGGGGGCAAGCGUUGUUCGGAAUUACUGGGCGUAAAGGGCUCGUAGGCGGCCAACUAAGUCAGACGUGAAAUCCCUCGGCUUAACCGGGGAACUGCGUCUGAUACUGGUUGGCUUGAAUCCGGGAGAGGGAUGCGGAAUUCCAGGUGUAGCGGUGAAAUGCGUAGAUAUCUGGAGGAACACCGGUGGCGAAGGCGGCAUCCUGGACCGGCAUUGACGCUGGGGAGCGAAAGCCAGGGGAGCAAACGGG
rnacentral:rRNA from 1 species